rfam:Heterocephalus glaber contig36002, whole genome shotgun sequence.
GGGGGUGUAGCUCAGUGGUGGAGCAGAUGUUUAAUAUUCAUAAGAUACUGGGGUCAAUCCUCAGCACGCGCA